UACGGGGGGGGCAAGCGUUGUUCGGAAUUACUGGGCGUAAAGGGCUCGUAGGCGUCCAACUAAGUCAGACGUGAAAUCCCUCGGCUUAACCGGGGAACUGCGUCUGAUACUGGAUGGCUUGAGUUUGGGAGAGGGAUGCAGAAUUCCAGGUGUAGCGGUGAAAUGCGUAGAUAUCUGGAGGAAUACCGGUGGCGAAGGCGGCAUCCUGGACCGACAUUGACGCUGAUGAGCGAAAGCUAGGGGAGCAAACGGG
rnacentral:rRNA from 1 species